CACGUAGGGCGCAAGCGUUGUCCGGAAUUAUUGGGCGUAAAGAGCUCGUAGGCGGUCUGUCGCGUCUGCUGUGAAAUCUCAGGGCUUAACCCUGAGCUUGCAGUGGGUACGGGCAGACUAGAGUGCGGUAGGGGAGACUGGAAUUCCUGGUGUAGCGGUGAAAUGCGCAGAUAUCAGGAGGAACACCGGUGGCGAAGGCGGGUCUCUGGGCCGUAACUGACGCUGAGGAGCGAAAGCAUGGGGAGCGAACGGG
rnacentral:rRNA from 1 species